UACGGAGGGGACUAGCGUUGUUCGGAAUUACUGGGCGUAAAGCGCGCGUAGGCGGACCUGCAAGUCGGGGGUGAAAGCCCGGGGCUCAACCUCGGAACUGCCUUCGAUCCUGCGGGUCUCGAGUCCGGGAGAGGUGAGCGGAAUUCCUAGUGUAGAGGUGAAAUUCGUAGAUAUUAGGAAGAACACCAGUGGCGAAGGCGGCUCACUGGCCCGGUACUGACGCUGAGGCGCGAAAGCGUGGGGAGCAAACAGG
rnacentral:rRNA from 1 species